rnacentral:misc_RNA from 1 species
AACGCACCUUGCACCCUUUGGUAUUCCGAAGGGUAUGCUCGUUUGAGUGUCAUUGUACUCUCAACCACCUCAGCAAUGUUGGUGGCUUGGAUGUUGGGUGUUUGCAGGCUCUCUGAAAAGAGGGUCGGCUCUCCUGAAAUGCAUUAGUGGUAUCUGGAGCUACUAGGUGUGAUAACUAUCUAUGCCUUUUUUUGCAUGAACAGAUUGUGCUGCUUACAACGUAACAACAAUUAUGACCAACUUGACCUCAAAUCAGGUAGGACUACCCGCUGAACUUAAG